rnacentral:ncRNA from 1 species
UUGGUAGAGGUGCAUCGAUUAUAAGUAGCUUUUCGGACAUGUCAGGCAUGGAAGAUGGAUUGUGAAAGGAUGAGAUGCCGAAAUCCGUUCCUUCCAUGAAAGCUGCGGGUUGGUUGUAAGGUUAAGAGCCGUGCGACUGUCAUCAAUACUUGAUGGAGCGCUACCUA